rnacentral:rRNA from 1 species
CCUACGGGAGGCAGCAGUAGGGAAUGUUCGGCAAUGGGGGGAACCCUGACCGAGCAACGCCGCGUGAACGAAGAAGUUAUUCGGAAGGUAAAGUUCUGUUAACAGGGAAGAAAGAGAAAGUGGACGGUACCUGAAGAAUAAGCGCCGGCGAACGACGUGCCAGCAGCCGAGGUAAGACGUAGGGAGCGAGCGUUAUCCGGAUUUAUUGGGCGUAAAGGGUGCGGAGAUGGCAUCGGAAGUCUUGUGGAAAAAUGCUGGGCUCACCCCAGUAGGGCAAAAGAUACUGCCAAGCUAGAGUAUGCCAGAGGCAAGUGGACCUCCCUGUGUAGCGGUCACCUUCGUACAUUUAUGU